UAACGCGUAGGUAACCUGCCUUGUAGCGGGGGAUAACUAUUGGAAACGAUGGCUAAUACCGCAUAACAAUGGGUGACACAUGUCAUUUAUUUGAAAGGGGCAAUUGCUCCACUACAAGAUGGACCUGCGUUGUAUUAGCUAGUAGGUGAGGUAACGGCUCACCUAGGCGACGAUACAUAGCCGACCUGAGAGGGUGAUCGGCCACACUGGGACUGAGACACGGCCCAG
rnacentral:rRNA from 1 species